rnacentral:lncRNA from 1 species
AAGUUAUUUCUGAAACUUUUUAAACCAAUCCAAACAGGCUCUUACUCCUUGACUUGAUGUCGGUUUUAGCUGGAAAGAGAAAGAGAUGCUACGCUACGGAUUGAGUUUGAACCAAUGUAUGGAGCUCAUAAAAUGAGUUAGCCCCCGACCCCAUAGGCAAAUCCAGAAUUGUAAGUAAAUGGGUUCCUAUUGUAGUAUCAAAUUAAUUUACGCUAAUAACUGGAUUCACAUUUAUAUAUUUAUUGAUAUUUAAUGAUUUUUUUUUAAUAAAAAUACAAGAUCUAUGCAAAAGUUACUUGCUUCCCAGUAACCAGUAACUAUGCUCUAUAUUCGCCAUCACAAAUAACAACAUUUUCCUAUACAUAGGGGUCCAAAGGAAAUAGCCAAAUUGUAUAUAUACCUCUAGGCUGGAGAUUGUUGUAACCCUGCCAAAAUGAAGAAAAACACACAUAAAAUUAAAAGGGUUUUCUAAACAAAAUCUACAUUGUUUUUUUUUUCUUCUAAUGACUAAUUAGUAGUGAUAUAAACAUAAAACAUGUAUAUAUAUAUAUAUAUAUAUAUAUAUAUAUAUGUAUAUAUAUAUAUAUGUAUGUAUAUAUAUAUAUAUGUAUGUAUUUACCUCAACCAUAUUGGUGAAAGUGAGCAAUAUCAAGAACAUUGACAGAAGCAACAAGAAGCUAACAUUGUAUCCACUUUUUGCCAUAUUCUUCUUCUCUUCAAAGGGAACUAAACUGAGUAUUUUGCUUUAGUAAUGAAGAUAACAAAAAAGAUAUAAUAAGAAGAGAAUAAUGAAAAUAUUGGAAGUAGAAGAAGUGAAGUGAGAAUAUUUAUAGAGGGUUUUAAUUUCCAGGGGC